rnacentral:rRNA from 1 species
GACGAACGCUGGCGGCGCGCCUAACACAUGCAAGUCGAACGGAGCUGAGAGAAGCUUGCUUUUCUUAGCUUAGUGGCGAACGGGUGAGUAACGCGUGAGUAACCUGCCCUGGAGUGGGGGACAACAGUUGGAAACGACUGCUAAUACCGCAUAAGCCCACGAUCCGGCAUCGGAUUGAGGGAAAAGGAUUUAUUCGCUUCAGGAUGGACUCGCGUCCAAUUAGCUAGUUGGUGAGGUAACGGCCCACCAAGGCGACGAUUGGUAGCCGGACUGAGAGGUUGAACGGCCACAUUGGGACUGAGACACGGCCCAGACUCCUACGGGAGGCAGCAGUGGGGGAUAUUGCACAAUGGGGGAAACCCUGAUGCAGCAACGCCGCGUGGAGGAAGAAGGUUUUCGGAUUGUAAACUCCUGUCGUUAGGGACGAUAAUGACGGUACCUAACAAGAAAGCACCGGCUAACUACGUG